GGGAUUUUGUUUUGUUUUCCUCUACCCAAAGGUAUAUUUCCCAAGAGAUAUAACUAAAACAUUCAAUAAUAUUUCUUUGUAUAGCAUCCAAUAAUGCAAUGGCUGGAAGACAAGAAAGCGAUGGAGUAGCUGGGCGGGUGCACUGGAUAUUAUCAAUAAUUUUGAUGCUGUGGAGUUACCAGAGCAGUGGACAAGGACAAGAGAUCUCCUUAUGAAGCCUGAAAAAGAACAUUGUUUCCCAGAAGUGCUGUGAGUUCAGAGUUCAGGAGGAUUACAGAAUCAGGU
rnacentral:lncRNA from 1 species